rnacentral:rRNA from 1 species
CCUACGGGAGGCAGCAGUGGGGGAUAUUGCACAAUGGGGGAAACCCUGAUGCAGCGACGCCGCGUGUCGGAAUACGGUCCUCUGGAUUGUAAACCACUGUCCCCAGGGACGAAGAUGACGGUACCUGGGGAGGAAGCUCCGGCUAACUACGUGCCAGCAGCCGCGGUAAUACGUAGGGAGCGAGCGUUGUCCGGAAUUACUGGGUGUAAAGGGAGCGUAGGCGGGACUGCAAGUUGGGUGUCAAAUCUACCGGCUCAACCGGUAGCCGCACUCAAAACUGCAGUUCUUGAGGGAAGUAGAGGCAGGCGGAAUGCCUAGUGUAGCGGUGAAAUGCGUAGAUAUUAGGAGGAACACCAGUGGCGAAGGCGGCCUGCUGGGCUUUUACUGACGCUGAGGCUCGAAAGUGUGGGGAGCAAACAGGAUUAGAUACCCGGGUAGUC